rnacentral:rRNA from 1 species
GACGACGCUGGCGGCGUGCCUAACACAUGCAAGAUGGGCUCGCGUCUGAUUAGAUAGUUGGUGAGGUAACGGCUCACCAAGUCGACGAUCAGUAGCCGGACUGAGAGGUUGAACGGCCACAUUGGAACUGAGAAACGGUCCAGACUCCUACGGGAGGCAGCAGUGGGGAAUAUUGGGCAAUGGGCGAAAGCCUGACCCAGCGACGCCGCGUGAAGGAAGAAGGUCUUCGGAUUGUAAACUUUUGUCAGCAAGGAAGAAGAAAGUGACAGUACUUGCUAAGGAAGCCACGGCUAACUACGUG